rnacentral:rRNA from 1 species
CCUACGGGCGGCUGCAGUGGGGAAUAUUGCACAAUGGGCGCAAGCCUGAUGCAGCCAUGCCGCGUGUGUGAAGAAGGCCUUCGGGUUGUAAAGCACUUUCAGCGGGGAGGAAGGCGUUAAGGUUAAUAACCUUGGCGAUUGACGUUACCCGCAGAAGAAGCACCGGCUAACUCCGUGCCAGCAGCCGCAGUAAUACGGAGGGUGCAAGCGUUAAUCGGAAUUACUGGGCGUAAAGCGCACGCAGGCGGUCUGUCAAGUCGGAUGUGAAAUCCCCGGGCUCAACCUGGGAACUGCAUUCGAAACUGGCAGGCUAGAGCCUUGUAGAGGGGGGUAGAAUUCCAGGUGUAGCGGUGAAAUGCGUAGAGAUCUGGAGGAAUACCGGUGGCGAAGGCGGCCCCGUGGACAAAGACUGACGCUCAGGUGCGAAAGCGUGGGGAGCAAACAGGAUUAGAUACCCUUGUAGUC